rnacentral:lncRNA from 1 species
AGAGUCAUGGAAUGAAUCAGAAAGUUCUUACAGUGGGUCUACAUCAGUCUACCAGUGUUUCCCUCAGUCUCAGUGAGGAGACGUAUUGAUGCAGCUGAGCUCUACUAGGAAAACAAACAUAUGCAGAAUGUUGUUUGUCUUCAAUUCUAUGUUCCAGUAUGGAAUUCGCAGUAGAGUGGAUGGAAUCCUCACAUUUUCUAUGGAGCUUUCUGGAUCUCAGCCUGGACAAAAGACAAAGAAAGAAGCUCAGAGACACAACCCUUUCCAUCUUAUGGAGACAUGGCUGCCAUUGGCAUUCUGCAGGUCUGCAGACCAGUCUUAGAGCCAAAAGCUGGGAAGAGGUUUCUGAAGAAGCUGUCACAAGGCCCUGCCUGUCUGCUCUUCUGUCUCAAUGAGUAACAGAUUACAUCACAGUCCAAAAGA